rnacentral:rRNA from 1 species
GGUGAACGCUGGCGGCGUGCUUAAGACAUGCAAGUCGAACGGCAGUCUUCGGACUGUAGUGGCGCACGGGUGAGUAACGCGUAGCUGACCUACCCCAAAGUCGCGGAUAACGAUUCGAAAGAAUCGCUAAUACGUGAUGUGCUGUCAGAUUGUGUUCUGCCAGUAAAGAUUGAUUGCUUUGGGAUGGGGUUGCGUUCCAUCAGCUAGUUGGUGGGGUAAAGGCCCACCAAGGCGACGACGGAUAGCCAGCCUGAGAGGGUGGCCGGCCACAGGGGCACUGAGACACGGGUCCCACUCCUACGGGAGGCAGCAGUUAGGAAUCUUCCACAAUGGGCGAAAGCCUGAUGGAGCGACGCCGCGUGAGGGAUGAAGGUCUUCGGAUCGUAAACCUCUGAAUCAGGGACGAAAGACACUUCGGUGGGAUGACGGUACCUGAGUAAUAGCACCGGCUAACUCCGUGCCAGCAGCCGCGGUAACAC